UACGGGGGGGGCAAGCGUUGUUCGGAAUUACUGGGCGUAAAGGGCUCGUAGGCGGCCAACUAAGUCAGACGUGAAAUCCCUCGGCUUAACCGGGGACUGCGUCUGAUACUGGAUGGCUUGAGAUUCGGGAGAGGGAUGCGGAAUUCCAGGUGUAGCGGUGAAAUGCGUAGAUAUCUGGAGGAACACCGGUGGCGAAGGCGCAUCCUGGACCGACACUGACACUGAGGAGCGAAAGCCAGGGGAGCAAACAGG
rnacentral:rRNA from 1 species